GAGCCCACCUGGAGAACAAAGCAAUUCAAGCAUCAGUAAUCAGGAUCCCACCUGGAGAACAAAGCAAUUCAAGCGUUGGUAACCAGGAGCCCACCUGAAGGACAAAUCAAUUCAAGUGUCAAUAAUCAGGAGCCCACCUGAAGAACAAAGCAGAAGUUCAAGUUUUGAGGGAAAGCAGCAAUUUUGAAGGAAGACGGUUCAAGUUCAGCAAUCCGGCACUCGCCUGAAGAAAAGGGAAAGCAUCUUAGAUUACAAUUUAAGUUGGCAACAAAGGAACUUCACCUGGAAAAUAUGAGUCAAUAGAGCAACAGGAACUGCAAGAUCAAGUUUGAAGAUAUAGGUAGGAUUUUUGUAAUGCAUAGAUCAUAGUUUAGUCUAGCUUAUUUUAUUUUGUCUUGGUGUAAUAAGGGGUUCCGUAAGAAGUAGAAGCAACAACAACAGUGAAAUCACAGCUUCAUAGUAGUCCCAGCUACCGAAACUUCCCGAACUACACUGACCUGAUUCCUUUGUAGUCAAGGAUAUGUAGGCAACCUCGGAAGCAAGGUGCGGUCAAAUCUUUUAAAAAUGCUUCCCAUGGAGUAUUCAAACGGGCAAAAAUCGCUGGUAUCCGCUCACUUUAUCUUUGCACGAAAACUCUUUGUGUUUCCGAGCAAAGAGGGGCAGCUAUGAGCACGUGAUUUUUGCCUUAUAUGAAUCACUCCCACAAAUUCAAAACAAAAUAAUUUUUUCACUGCUUGCAAUUUCGUGAAUUUUUGUAGCAUUUUGUUAUUGUUUGCAUUUGUCUGUGCAUGUUUAUUUUAUUUAAUUAGUGAAAAUACAAAAAUACAUUGCAUUUGAAUUUAGGAUUUACUUUUACAUUUGUUAGACUAAUUAGCAAAUUAGUUGUUUUAUAAAAAUUAAAAAAUCACAAAAAAAUAAUUUAUUUUCACUAUUAAUUUUAGCUUCGAAUUUUGGUAGUUUCCUUUAAUUUGGUUUUUAAUUAAUUGUGGUAAUUAAUUAAUUUAUGUUGUUAGGAUUAAUUUAAUUUAGGAAUUAGUAUAGGUUUAUUUUUAUUUAAAAAAAAAGAAGAAGAAAAGGAAUUAAAAAGAGUUUGAAAUUAAAAUGAACUAAUUUGAAAAAGAAAAAGUGAAAAAUAGAGGCUGUAUUUGGGCGAAAUCUGUGUCAGCCCAAACGAUUUCCACCAGAACCCGUUUAAUUAAGGCCCAAACAUGUUUCCCACCCAGUCCGGUCUCCACUUAACCAAAACGACCCAGUUUUGAUAGACCAAAUCAAGACUGUUGAUAUUUGUUGAUCUAACGGUCCGGAAGUGGGGUUUGAUAGGUAUAAUAAUGUCCGAACCCCUUCAGCCCCCCCUCUCAUCGUCUCUUUAAUUUCUAAUCUUCCAACACCACCCCUGAAACCCUAGUAGUCGCCCCCUUUUCCCACCGCUUUAGGGUGGCGGUGCCGACUCCAAACUCCACCAAAAUAACAUCACGGGACCACGAAGACCCCCUCAUACUGAAUCCACAAUUAAUUUCCCUCAAAUCCUCCUUAAACUUCUCUAAUCUUAAAUCCAAAAUCCGAGUUUCUAAGAGCCAAAUCCAAACCUGGGCAUGCAGGAUGAUUGCUCCAACCCUCAUGAGUUUUUAGAGCCGGUUUUGUCACGAAAUAGUGUUGUUCACUUGUUCUUGACAAAGAACAAGCGACUAACAUUAUUUGGGGAUGAAGUCGGAGUGUCAGGUCUCGAGUUCGAGUUUGGUGCGGUGAGUUCUUUCUAUAUUUUGAUUCAUUUUGUUUUCUUUCCUCUUCUUUUCUUCUUUUUUCUUUGGACAACUCAGUUAAUUCGACUCAAUUCUUAGCCGAAAUUGAUAAUUGUCCGUUUGUUCUUCUCAAGUCUGUUUUUCAAUCUUGUUUUGUUUGUUUUGUUCUUUUUUGUUAAUAGCAGUAUUACUGUUCUCAUUUCAUCAUCUGUUUAAACACAUAGUUAAUGUAAUUAGGCCCAUAACCUAGCUAAUUUCCUGUUAUGUAGUUAGGUUAACUAGUUCGUUCACUUUGUUUUGUUUUGGCUGCAUUUUUUAAAAGGUUCCGAGUUUCUUCUUUUGGAAAUUUUGGGUCAGUUCUUAAAAUUGGGAGUCCCCGAUUUAUUUUUAUUGGAUUCUGAAAUUCAAAGAGCCCAAGUGGGGAUUUAGUUUGGGUUUACAGACCCAUACCAAAUUUGGUUGGGUCAAUUUAACCCAUAUUUUGAUUUCAAGGGUAAUAACAAGGGCUCAUGGGGGCAAUUUGGGAAAUCUAAGUAGGGAAUAUUUUAGUAACUGAAUAUGAAGCUUCUAGGAAGCUAGGGAGGGGGACUGAUUUGAAGCUCUGAAAUUUAAACAAAGGACUCCUAAGCAAAAAUAAAAAUUCCAGAAGGUUUUAAGUGCAAAACUAGUGGCAUUUCUGCAACCCUAGUAGCUUGCCUAUAAAGGCACCAUAGCUUGACACUCAAGCCAGAUGAGAAAAAGGCAUAAAAUUCAGAAAAACCAAAAACAACUAAAAAUUUCAUAAAAAUCACUGUUCCAUUGAACUUCUUCUGUGAUUUCUAAAGUUUCCAAUAUUUGAAACAAUUUCUGAUUCAUCUGGGGUAAAAUGGACUGAAUUUGGAUUUUAAAUAUUUGGUUAGAAGUUUGUUGUGGUUAUUGCUCGAUUGAAAUUGGUUUUUGGACUGCUGCACAUCAUUUUUCUGUUUGAAAUUUGUUCUGCUGGUGCUGACUUCUGCUAUUGCUACUGCUGACCCUUCACUUCUUAUUUUUGUUCAUUUCCAGGUAUUCCUUCAAACAAUGAAUGGAAAUGAAGCUCGAUUGAGCUAUAUGUGAAGCCAUGUAACUCAAGUUGAUGAAAAGACCAUUGUUAAUUCUCUGUUGAUUCUUCAUUUUUUACUAGUUUCUUGUAUUUUGUUCUGGGUUUCUUUUAGCUCAGCCUUCUUAUGACCCAUUCAUGUCACCAUGGCUACAUGUUUUGUCCUAGGGGUUAGAUAUGAGUUUUCUGCUUGAAUGUAGUUGAUUCAUAAAAGUCUUCUAGAUUUAGUGUAAUAUGUAUGAACUGGAGGCUGCACUCCUUAGUUUGAUUGUGAAGUUGAUUGGCUCUGAAUGUGUUUCAUGGCUAUGGGUUGCAUGUUGAUCAUUUCAAACCAUUCCUGCCCUAGUUUAGUAAAUCUGAGUUGAGUUUUGCCUUCAUUGAUCGUGUAUUUAGACUUGUUUAUAUGCAGGCUGAAGCGUAGUCUACUAAGUUCAGAAGUUUAUAGUUUAGUUUUGCCUCUGUUCGUAUGUAAGCUAUGAAUUUCAAAAGGACUUUCAAAAAUGGAAUUUGAAUUUGAUUUCAAAUCUGAGAUUUUUUAGACUUAGCUUGACUCUUUAUAGGUUGUUCAUUCUCGAAAAGUUUGAGUCAAGGACGUUGGUUUGAACCAGGGCAUGCAUGAGUUGUAACUAAUAAAUUUGCAAUGUUAAAUAAUGAAAUAACUUGUGUAAGAGUUGCUACCACACCAGGAAUUGAAUCCUCAUUUCAGAAUCUAUGUUGGCAUUUAAUGCACCUUUGUAUUUGUUUUAAUUGAAGAUUUUCAUAGAAAGAUUGUUUCCACACCAAGUGUUAGUGCAGAAUCGGAUUGGGGUUGCCAAUGUUGGCCCAGUUAUGUUCAUCAGCAUUCAGCGUUUCUUGAUUUGGGCUUCACGUUAAGCCCAGUUGAGUUGUUGUGCUCGUUAAGGAGUUAUCGAAUUGCAAUUGGGUCCAUUGUCGGCCCAAGCCCUGAAAGUUGAAUCUUUAUUUUAGUUUAAUGCAGGCCUCUAAUUACUAGGCCAAGCUCAAACAUUAGCCUAAAAUAAUUAGAAUCCUUUAUGUUUUCCUUAAUUAAUUGGUGGAGGUGACCCAUAUUAAAUAAUAUAAAUAGCUUAUGGCCCUCAAACAUUUAUCUUGAACUUCCUUUUAAAAAUGGAAUCGACGCACGCCAUGCCAAAUAAAAUCUCAAUUGUAUGGCCCUCGUUUAAUGGCCCUCGCAAAGUUACAAACGCGUAGUUACUUUAGGCGAGUUAUUUUAAUAAUUUACCUUCUUAAACUCGGGUGCGCAUUUAUGUGACCCAAAUCUAAAUCUCAACAAUGUUAGAUAAAAUAUGUCAAGGACCGCGGGUGCAUUUAUGUGACGUGGUUCAAGACAUAUUUUUAAUAACGUUGCAAUCUUCCUAAAAAAUAAAUAAAAGCGGUUUUAAAGUUAAAAUGCACAUAGGUUUAAAAGAGUAUUAAAAUCAGAUAACAGGCCAAAUAGAACAGUUGAGCGACCGUGCUAGAACCACGGAGUCCGGGAAUUCCUAACACAUUCUCCUGGGUUAACGGAAUUCCUUACCCAGAUUUCUUGUUCGCGGACUCUAAAACAGAGUCAAUCUUUUUCUCGAUUCGAGAUUUGAAUCGGUGACUUAGGACACCCUAAAUUAUCCCAAGUGGCGACUCUGAAUUUCUUAAUAUAAAUAAUCUUGUUUCGAUUGUCACUUUAAUUGAAAAAAACUCUCUUAUAUAUCCCUUUUCGGGGGUGUAGGAAAAAGGAGGUGUGGCAGCUCUGGAGAGCUGUCACACCUCCUUGUUUCCUACACCCCCGAGGAGGGUAUAAGGGAGUUUUUUCCAACAUAAAGUGACAAUCAAAACGGGAUCAUUUUAUUAAAUUAAAUUCAGAGUCGCCACUUGGGAUAAUUUUAUGGUGUCCCAAGUCACCGGUUCAAAUCCCGAAAUCGAGGAAAUUAUUGACUCUGUAUUACAGUCCGUGAACACAAAAAUUCAGGUAAUGAAUUUUGUUAACCCAGGAGAAGGUAUUAGGCAUUCCCCAGUUCCAUGGUUCUAGCACGGUCGCUAAACUGUUAUAAUUGGCCUAUUUACUUGAUUUUAGUACAUGUUUUAGCCUAUGGUGCAAUUUUAACUUUAAAACAACUUUUAUUUAUUAUUUUUAGAAAAGAUUCAAUGUCAUCUAAAACAUGUCUUGAACCACGUCACGUAAAUGCACCCGCGGUCCGAGACAUAUUUUAUUUAACAUUGUUAAGAUUUGGAUUUGGGUCACAUGAAAUGCACACCCGAGUUUAGGAAGGUAAUUUUAAAUUACGCGCCUAAAGCAACUACGCAUUUCAACUUUGCGAGGGCCAUGGAAAUUCAACUAAAUGGCACGCCUCGAUUCCUAAGGAUUAAAAUAUUAAUUAGGCGAGGGCCAUGCAUUUUGAGGUUUUGUUCGGCACGACACACCUCGAUUUAUUCUAACCAAAAGGUUUCUAAAUUAGCUCAUGAGGGCCAUAGACUAGGUGAUUGGAUGGCGCACCUCAAUUUAUUCAAGGAAAAGCAAUUAGUUAAACUACGGAUAUUCAUUUUUACAACUAAUUAAUUUAGGUAUCACAACCACGCCACGGGAACCGUACCCGUAGUUGCAAUGAUUUAAGUACGUGCCUCAAGCAAAAUACGAAUGUUUAUCAAUCUGACUUUUAAGCCCAAAUCCCCACAGCCCAAUUCAAUAUCCAAAAAAUUCUUUACGUUUUUUUUAAUCCAAACCAAAUUGUUAGAGACAUACGGUGCCAUACCAUGAUGGAAGCCUUAUGUUCAACUAAAAUAAAUGAAAGGCACAACAGUUAUUUGUAUUUUUUUAAUAACAAGUCAUUUAUGUUAGGACAACUUGGUGGAUAACACCCAUCCCCUGGUGUUUUUCCUUUUCUACUCCUUUGUUUCCAAACCAAAAAGCCAAUUUAAAAAGUUCAGCCUCACAAAAGAUUUCAAACCAGAAUUCAGCAGAUACAAGGACGGUUUAACUACUAAGAAACUCUAUCAAGGGCUGAGAUUCACAAACGGCAGCAACAAAUUAAGAGCAAAUUUCAGCUCAAUACUCAGAAAUCAAGCUAAGCAUGCUAGUCGAAUUCAUUCAAAUCAGUUAACUCAAAACGAUCUAGUCCAAGUUCAGCUAUAACUCAAACUUUUCAAAAUUUUCAGCACAUAUGGACCUUAAGCACAUCAUAGCUUCAAUCCAAGUUUUAAUCUUAAGAUUUCAAAUUCAACUUUUGUUAAACAAACGUAAUAGCACUUAAUUGAAAAAUCAUACACUUGUUAAGCACAAAAGCAAGCAAAUUCGAGUAAGAACUGAACGCGAAUAGAACAGAGGAAAAUGACGCUGGGACCACUGACCGUAAAAUAACGUCGGCGACUUAGACGAAAAGCCCGAACUCAACUCUUCCCCACGUAAUCUUUUGCAAAAAAACAGAGCUUGAGCUAUGAUGUUUUGGUUGUUUCGAUGGAGACUUAUUGCAUAUUCUUCAGUGCUUUAAUGGUAAAAAUGGUGAGCUUACACAACUGGUUUUUGAAGCUAUUUUCAUAGUUGGUUUUGCUCCCUUUUGGCUGGAGUUUAGAGGUGAAGGGAAGUCAAGAAGGGCGGUUGUAGUAUAGCUGACUGGAGGAAGCCGUUGUUUGUGCUGUGAGGACGAAUAACAUUGUUGAUGGCUGCUGUGGUGGGGAUCGAGUGAAGAAGCAAGGGUUGUUGGUUUUGGAUUGAUGGCUGAUGGCAAAACGACAGAUCAGAUUUUGCUUUCUAGGCAUUUAGCUUCAGGAUUAGGCGUUAGGUCUAUCUCCAGGUCUAUAGGUCUUUUCCUUGUAUUUGUAGCUGACUUCCU
rnacentral:lncRNA from 1 species